rnacentral:rRNA from 1 species
UAGGGAAUCUUCCGCAAUGGACGCAAGUCUGACGGAGCAACGCCGCGUGAGUGAAGAAGGAUUUCGGUUAGUAAAACUCUGUUGUUAGAGAAGAACAGCGCAUAGAGUAACUGUUAUGCGUGUGACGGUAUCUAACCAGAAAGCCACGGCUAACUACGUGCCAGCAGCCGCGGUAAUACGUAGGUGGCAAGCGUUGUCCGGAUUUAUUGGGCGUAAAGCGAGCGCAGGCGGUCAAUUAAGUCUGAUGUGAAAGCCCCCGGCUCAACCGGGGAGGGUCAUUGGAAACUGGUUGACUUGAGUGCAGAAGAGGAGAGUGGAAUUCCAUGUGUAGCGGUGAAAUGCGUAGAUAUAUGGAGGAACACCAGUGGCGAAGGCGACUCUCUGGUCUGUAACUGACGCUGAGGUUCGAAAGCGUGGGUAGCAAACAGG